GACGAACGCUGGCGGCGUGCUUAACACAUGCAAGUCGAACGGAAAGGCCCUGCUUUUGUGGGGUGCUCGAGUGGCGAACGGGUGAGUAACACGUGAGUAACCUGCCCUUGACUUUGGGAUAACUUCAGGAAACUGGGGCUAAUACCGGAUAGGAGCUCCUGCUGCCUGGUGGGGGUUGGAAAGUUUCGGCGGUUGGGGAUGGACUCGCGGCUUAUCAGCUUGUUGGUGGGGUAGUGGCUUACCAAGGCUUUGACGGGUAGCCGGCCUGAGAGGGUGACCGGCCACAUUGGGACUGAGAUACGGCCCAGACUCCUACUGGAGGCAGCAGUGGGGAAUAUUGCACAAUGGGCGGAAGCCUGAUGCAGCAACGCCGCGUGCGGGAUGACGGCCUUCGGGUUGUAAACCGCUUUCGCCUGUGACGAAGCGUGAGUGACGGUAAUGGGUAAAGAAGCACCGGCUAACUACGUG
rnacentral:rRNA from 1 species